rnacentral:rRNA from 1 species
AUAACGCAGCGAAAGCUGUGCUAAUACCGCAUAAGACCACAGGGUCACAUGGCCCAGCGGUCAAAGGAGUAAUCCGGUUUGGGGUGGGCUCGCGUCUGAUUAGCUGGUUGGUGAGGUAACGGCCCACCAAGGCGACGAUCAGUAGCCGACCUGAGAGGGUGAUCGGCCACAUUGGAACUGAGACACGGUCCAAACUCCUACGGGAGGCAGCAGUGGGGAAUAUUGGGCAAUGGGCGAAAGCCUGACCCAGCAACGCCGCGUGAAGGAAGAAGGUCUUCGGAUCGUAAACUUCUAUCCUUGGUGAAGAUAAUGACGGUAGCCGAGAAGGAAGCCCCGGCUAACUACGUGCCAGCAGCCGCGGUAAUACGUAGGGGGCAAGCGUUGUCCGGAAUGAUUGGGCGUAAAGGGCGCGUAGGCGGCCUGGUAAGUCUGGAGUGAAAGUCCUGCUUUUAAGGUGGGAAUUGCUUUGGAUACUGUCGGGCUUGAGUGCAGGAGAGGUAAGUGGAAUUCCCGGUGUAGCGGUGAAAUGCGUAGAGAUCGGGAGGAACACCAGUGGCGAAGGCGACUUACUGGACUGUAACUGACGCUGAGGCGCGAAAGUGUGGGGAGCAAACAGGAUUAGAUACCCUGGUAGUCCACGCUGUAAACGAUGAUCACUAGGUGUAGCGGGUACUCAUUCCUGCUGUGCCGUAGCUAACGC